CCCCGCCUCUCGGCCGCGUCGCGCCGCAAUCCCCUCCCUCAUCGCCUCCUCGCCCCUUGCCAGCCGAAAUCCACUCGCGUGGUCGUUCGGAGGGAGAAGCUGCAAGGAGCCCCCCAGCUCCGCAAGGGUUGCGCGGGACCUUCCGUCACCCGCUGGUGCGCAGGGAGGUGUUUAUAGGGCCGAGGCUCCCCCCUGCCCCACGAAACUCACGGCCUCCCCUCCGCUACCGGUGGGUGAGGAGAGCCGCGAUCGCCUCCCCCGCCGCAGCCGGAGCGGGGGACCAGCCUCCCCCUUUGCCACGGGGGCAGCAUGAAGAAGAUCCUUAGCGCUGACGAUUUCAUAAAUUAUAUGGCUCUUCCCUGAUGCUCCAUAAAUGGCCACUGGUACCUUUUUCUUUUCACUGCCUCAUCUACUCUCACCAAAAUUUAUCAUUUGCUUAUACAUAUCUUUGUUGCACAUUAUUGCAAGCUGGUUUUGUUCAGUGCUGUCCAUGCUGCAAAGCAGAAGUGGGAAUAGAUAUCUUCUAAAACAUGGCCAAGUUUUCAAAUGUUAACUUUGCUAGGAGGGCAAAGAAACACCAGCAAAACUAUUUGCAUCUUCAGUCAUCUCUAGGUCCCAAAUUAGUAUGUGGGAACAAUGAUUGAAGAAUAUGAAGUCCUUAGUUUUAAUGUUUGUAACACAGUUCAACAGCAUUUAAAUAAAUUUCUUCUGGAUGAGACAGUUUAAAGACAUCUGUUGGGUUAGGUUGUUCUUUUAUCUUGAGUAACUCUGGCCUUCUAAUACAACCACUCAGACUUUCUUCAAAACAGUAAAGUUGCUUUCUGUUACAGA